rnacentral:rRNA from 1 species
UAGGGAAUAUUGCGCAAUGGGGGAAACCCUGACGCAGCAACGCCGCGUGAGUGAGGAAGGUCUUCGGAUUGUAAAACUCUUUUAUUAGGGAAAAAUGUCUCUGUGGCUAAUACUCAUAGAGAGUGAUGGUACCUAAGGAAUAAGCACCGGCUAACUUCGUGCCAGCAGCCGCGGUAAUACGAAGGGUGCAAGCGUUGUUCGGAAUCAUUGGGCGUAAAGCGCGCGCAGGCGGAUCGAUAAGUCAGGUGUGAAAUCCCGAGGCUCAACCUCGGAACUGCGCCUGAAACUAUUGGUCUAGAAUGUCGGAGGGGGCAGGGGAAUUUCACGUGUAGGGGUAAAAUCCGUAGAGAUGUGAAGGAACACCGGUGGCGAAGGCGCCUGCCUGGACGACUAUUGACGC